ACAAGCCCUUUUAAGGAAAAACCGAGCAUUUGAAAGUUUCCCUGACAGUAUUCAACAUCAGAUUUGCCAAGUUGCAGUCUACCAAAAGUAUGAAGCCACAAGAACAGUGUUAAAGCAAGGUCACCCGUGCCAGGACUGUUAUUUUGUGCUUGCUGGUAGUCUAUUAGUGAAAGUAAAUGAUAUCUCAAGGAAAGGAAACUCAACAACUCAAACUUUAAAUGAAGUGGAGGAAGGAGACAUGUUUGGGGAGACUUGUCUUUUGACAUGCAGCCUACGACAUGCAACAGUUGUUUGCAAGACUGAUGUGGAACUUCUGCUGAUAGACAAAGAGG